GACGAACGCUGGCGGCGUGCCUAAUACAUGCAAGUCGAACGCAGUGGGGACGGGUGAGUAACAAGUGGGUAACCUCCCAUCAGAGGGGCUAAAACUUGGAAAAAGGUGCUAAACCGAUACUGAUGGAUGGACUCGCGGUGCAUUAGCUAGUUGGUGAGGUCACGGCGCACCAAGGCCACGAUGCAUAGCCGACCUGAGAGGGUGAUCGGCCACACUGGAACUGAGACACGGCCCAGACUCCGACGGGAGGCAGCAGUAGGGAAGCUUCGGCAAUGGACGAAAGUCUGACCGAGCAACGCCGCGUGAGUGAAGAAGGUUUUCGGAUCGUAAAACUCUGUUGUUAGGGAGGCGGUAUCUAACCAGAAAGCCACGGCUAACUACGUGCCAGCAGCCGCGGUAAUUC
rnacentral:rRNA from 1 species